rnacentral:rRNA from 1 species
AGGCAGAACGACCCGCGAACCGUUUAUAACUCAUUCGAGAGGCGGGCCUUCGUGCCCACCGCUCGUUGCCCCAGGGCUGGGGUUGUGGGUCAAGCCCGCACCCCCUCGCCGUGGGCGCAGACAACAAACCCCGGCGCAAAUCGCGCCAAGGAAGAAGAAAGAAAGACGUGCUCCCUCGGUCCCGGAAACGGUGCGCCAGGGACUGCGUUGUCGUUACCUCAUUCGAAACGACUCUCGGCAACGGAUAUCUCGGCUCUCGCAUCGAUGAAGAACGUAGCGAAAUGCGAUACUUGGUGUGAAUUGCAGAAUCCCGUGAACCAUCGAGUUUUUGAACGCAAGUUGCGCCCAAAGCCGUCAGGCCGAGGGCACGCCUGCCUGGGUGUCACGAAAUGUCGCCAAACAUCCCUUCCUUCGAGCCCCCUUCCAUUCCAAUCCAAGGGGGAAGCAUCGAGGGGUUGGCGGAUAUUGGCCUCCCGUGCGCAGUCGCUCGCGGUUGGCCUAAAAGAGAAGUCCCCCUGCGAGGCAUCCACGACACGCGGUGGUUGAAAGCGUAUGCUCUCCUGGAACACCGUCGUGGGCGAGCCUCGUCCAAGGGGAAAGCCAAAGGCCCCGACGCGGAGCGUCUUUCACU